AAGGAGAGAAGGAAAGAACGAAGGAGACGCCAUCCAAACAUAGAGAAGUCGUGAAAGAGAUACAGAAGAAAGGUAAAAAGGCCCGAGGCAAAAGAGCGACAGAGGCCAUGCCGACAAACAGUGCAGGACUUGCAGCCGGGAGAGACCCCCAGGGACUGAGGUGGGAGAGCCUUGAAGUCCUGCAAUUCGUUGUUGAUACGAACUUCGUGGAUACAGCCGUGGAAGCCGCCCAGCGGCCUGUCUGCACCCUGGCGUAAGGCCGAGAGGCCCGUGGAGGUGGGGAUGCCUGUAGGAAGGAAGGCAGGACAGCCUGAAGACACGCCCUUGCCCCACCCUCACCCCCUUAGCCUUCAAAGCGAGAACAUGCACAGCACAUGUUCGCAGUUACUGUUCAGAGCUCUGGGCCCAUGCUGCUCAAACUGAGCUAACAGGUCAGAGACCGGGCCUUUUCCUCACAGGGGCAAAUCCUUGCUCUGGUACCAUUAAAACUCAACCUAUCACCGGUAUUUAAUCUCUGAAAAAAAGAUCCCCACAAAAGUCUGUAGUUUGAACUUUCAAAGGAGAAACGAGAGGACCUGCCACACAGUCCUAUUGGCUUAACCGAGGCCCACCCCUUAGGUAUGGCAGUAUGGUCUAAUGUUCCUCCUCCAUGCCAUACCUAAGGGGUUCAAGGUUACCAGGCUAUUUGCUACCCUCUGUGCUAUACUAAUGCCUUUCUCAGGGCCUUUAGCAGACUACUGGUAAUGGCCUGACUUUGUUUUCAGUGACGUCUGGUCUGUGUUUUCUCCCUGCUCUUACUGCUGGGCCCAUGGCUUAACUGUGGUGAAUGCUUAGCGUACACACAGCCCUGGGUUGGAUCCCCAGCACUGCAUACCCUGAACACUGUGGCACUCCAUAGUUAUUCCAGCACUCAGUAGGUAGAGGUGGGAGUAUUAGAAGUUCAAGGCUAUCCUUGGCUAUAGAUGAAUUUUGAGGCCAGCCUGGGCUACAUGAGACCCUGCCUCAAACAGACAACAAAUAAAUGCAGCGUCUACUCUCAUCCUUCCAUGCUAAUUCCUAUCCAGGCCACAUGCUGGGUGGAAAAUGUGCCCCAUUUGUUGUGGCCACAGCAGGGCAGGUGCAGAGGAGGGAACCAUGCUCUUGUGGAGAAUCUGUGUCCCGAGAUGGGUCUGGGCCAGGAGUGCUCUGUGUCCCCUGCAUCUGGAUGGCCUGCUUAAAGUGCAAGUCCCUGGGUCCAUGUCAGCCCUUGGCAGGGGACACCUGGGCUGAAGCUUUAGGAAUCUACACUGACCAAACUGCUUCGGUGGCUGUGUGAAGACAUGCGUGUUGGGGUGCAAACCAGGGUGUUGCCGCUCGCACUAGGGUAGCACCCUACCUCUGAGUCCCAGUCUGAACCCCCUCCCCGGCUCCUAUGUCAGUUUCUCCUGUCUGCAUAUAAUUCUUCAAGGCCCAGCAGCCUAGGGGCUUCAUUUCUGGUCUAGGCAGCUUGUGGUGGUUUGCCAUUUUGGCCUUUGUACAACCUUGACCUCGGUGUGGUGCUUCUCGUCAUGUCCAGGAGGUGGCAGGCCAGAGGGUACUGCCCCGAAGCUUCAGACUGCAGCAGAGCCUGGACAGUCUUCCAUCUGAUCCUCCCCCCCCUCCCCCUCCCCUCCCUGCACAUCUGUUACUCCCACAGAGGCUCACUCUUUCUCCUUGACAAGCAUCUGUCCAGCAUCUGUUCCCCAUGGCUGGGCUUUCAGCAGCCAUUUUUGUCAUUACUUCUCCGGGAAGGCUCCCUUGACUUUGGCAGUAGGUGCCAACAGGACAUCAAGGAGACCCCUGGCAUCAGGUGUGGGUGUCCGUGCAGAAGCAGAAAGCCAGAAGGACACAGGGUGGGGCAAGGUGGUGAUGGGGGUGUUACCUCCAAGAUAGAGGGGACUGUUGAUGCCCACGGCUGGCUGCUUCUGGAGCUUCCCCAGGCUCUUGGGGGCUCCUUUGUCCACCACCAGGUUCAAGGUCUGGUUUAGCAUCACCAGCUCCACGCUGUGAAACUGACCAUCGUUCACCGUCUCCACGCUGGACAGGAGAGAAAGGGAGAGAGAGCCAGAGGUGAAGCACGUUCCAGGGCCAGGCACGGGGCUGCGGUUUGGAUUCGCACUGCUUGUAAUCUGCUUCAGUUUCCGUGUGGAAACAACUGUGAGUUACAGAAGUUGCCCAGAUAAAAACAGAAAAUGCCCUUUU